UACGUAGGGCGCAAGCGUUAUCCGGAAUUAUUGGGCGUAAAGCGCGCGCAGGCGGCCUUUUAAGUCUGAUGUGAAAGCCCACGGCUUAACCGUGGAAGGUCAUUGGAAACUGGAAGGCUUGAGUACAGAAGAGGAAAGCGGAAUUCCACGUGUAGCGGUGAAAUGCGUAGAGAUGUGGAGGAACACCAGUGGCGAAGGCGGCUUUCUGGUCUGUAACUGACGCUGAGGCGCGAAAGCGUGGGGAGCAAACAGG
rnacentral:rRNA from 1 species